rnacentral:rRNA from 1 species
AUGUGACGGGAAUUUUCGGCAAUGGAGGAAACUCUGACCGAGCAACGCCGCGUGAACGAUGAAGUAUUUCGGUAUGUAAAGUUCUUUUAUUGAAGAAGAAAAAAUAGUGGAAAAACUAUCUUGACGAUAUUCAAUGAAUAAGCCCCGGCAAACUAUGUGCCAGCAGCCGCGGUAAUACAUAGGGGGCGAGCGUUAUCCGGAAUUAUUGGGCGUAAAGGGUGCGUAGGCGGUUUAAUAAGUCUAUAGUUUAAUUUCAGUGCUUAACACUGUCCUGCUAUAGAAACUAUUAGACUAGAGUGAGAUAGAGGCAAGUGGAAUUCCAUGUGUAGCGGUAAAAUGCGUAAAUAUAUGGAGGAACACCAGAGGCGUAGGCGGCUUGCUGGGUCUUUACUGACGCUGAGGCACGAAAGCGUGGGGAGCAAACAGGAUUAGAUACCCUGGUAGUCCACGCCGUAAACGAUGAGUACUAAGUGUCGGGAUUACUCGGUACUGAAGUUAACACAUUAAGUACUCCGCCUGAGUAGUACGUACGCAAGUAUGAAACUUAAAGGAAUUGACGGGACUCCGCACAAGCGGUGGAUCAUGUUGUUUAAUUCGAAGAUACACGAAAAACCUUACCAGGUCUUGACAUACUCUGCAAAGCUAUAGCAAUAUAGUGGAGGUUAUCAGAGAUACAGGUGGUGCAUGGUUGUCGUCAGCUCGUGUCGUGAGAUGUUAGGUUAAGUCCUAAAACGAGCGCAACCCUUGUCAUUAGUUGCCAGCAUGUCAUGAUGGGCACUUUAAUGAGACUGCCAAUGAAAAAUUGGAGGAAGGUGAGGAUCACGUCAAAUCAUCAUGCCCCUUAUGAUCUGGGCUACAAACGUGAUACAAUGGCUGUUACAAAGAGUAGCUGAAACGCAAGUUUAUAGCCAAUCUCAUAAAAGCAGUCUCAGUUCGGAUUGAAGUCUGCAACUCGACUUCAUGAAGUUGGAAUCGCUAGUAAUCGCGAAAUUCCUGAACCAUGUAC